GAUGAACGCUGGCGGCGUGCUUAACACAUGCAAGUCGAACGGAAAGGCCACAGCUUGCUGUGGUACUCGAGUGGCGAACGGGUAAGUAACACGUGGGUGAUCUGCCCUGUACUUCGGGAUAAGCUUGGGAAACUGGGUCUAAUACCGGAUAGGAAUCACAUGUGGGUGUGUGGUUGGAAAGCUUUUGCGGUAUGGGAUGAGCUCGCGGCCUAUCAGCUUGUUGGUGGGGUAAUGGCCUACCAAGGCGUCGACGGGUAGCCGGCCUGAGAGGGUGUACGGCCACAUUGGGACUGAGAUACGGCCCAGACUCCUACGGGAGGCAGCAGUGGGGAAUAUUGCACAAUGGGCGCAAGCCUGAUGCAGCGACGCCGCGUGGGGGAUGACGGCCUUCGGGUUGUAAACUCCUUUCGUCAGGGACGAAGCGAAAGUGACGGUACCUGGAUAAGAAGCACCGGCUAACUACGUG
rnacentral:rRNA from 1 species